rnacentral:rRNA from 1 species
GACGAACGCUGGCGGCGUGCUUAACACAUGCAAGUCGAACGGAAAGGCCCUGCUUUUGUGGGGUGCGCGAGUGGCGAACGGGUGAGUAACACGUGAGUAACCUGCCCUUGACUUUGGGAUAACUUCAGGAAACUGGGGCUAAUACCGGCUAGGAUCUCCUGCUGCAUGGUGGGGGUUGGAAAGUUUCGGCGGUUGGGGAUGGACUCGCGGCUUAUCAGCUUGUUGGUGGGGUAGUGGCUUACCAAGGCUUUGACGGGUAGCCGACCUGAGAGGGUGACCGGCCACAUCGGGACGGGACUGCGGCCCAGACUAGUCCGCGAGGCAGCACUGGAGUGGAUAAUAUAAGGGGCGGAGCGCUGAUGCAACCCAGCCGCGUGCGGGAAGAGAGGAAGCCCGUAGUGAUCCAAAGCCGCCUGUCACGCAGCGUGAAUGACGGUACUGGGUAAAUAAGCACCGGCUAACUCCGUG